rnacentral:rRNA from 1 species
GAUGAACGCUGGCGGCGUGCCUAAUACAUGCAAGUCGAACGAAACUUCUUUAUCACCGAGUGCUUGCACUCACCGAUAAAGGGUUGAGUGGCGAACGGGUGAGUAACACGUGGGCAACCUGCCCAAAAGAGGGGGAUAACACUUGGAAACAGGUGCUAAUACCGCAUAACCAUAGUUACCGCAUGGUAACUAUGUAAAAGGUGGCUAUACUACCGCUUUUGGAUGGGCCCGCGGCGCAUUAGCUAGUUGGUAGGGUAAAGGCUUACCAAGGCAAUGAUGCGUAGCCGAAUUGAGAGGUUGAUCGGCCACAUUGGGACUGAGACACGGCCCAAACUCCUACGGGAGGCAGCAGUAGGGAAUCUUCCACAAAGGGCGAAAGCCUGAUGGAGCAACGCCGCGUGGGUGAAGAAGGUCUUCGGAUCGUAAAACCCUGUUGUUAGAGAAGAAAGUGCGUGAGAGUAACUGUUCACGUUUCGACGGUAUCUAACCAGAAAGCCACGGCUAACUACGUG